UAUGGUCACAUCACGUCGUAACACCGGUUCCCGUAUGAUCACUAAAGUUAAGCAACGUUGAGCCAGGUCAGCACCUAGUUGGCUGAUCCCUUGGGGAUACCAGGUGUUGUUA